rnacentral:hammerhead_ribozyme from 1 species
AUCCAGCUGAAGAGUCCGAACUAGGACGAAACGCGAGGCCUAGAU